GUUGAUAAUCCCUAGUGAAUGUCAUUACCAUAUGCAUUUAGAAUGGGGUAAAAACAUCAGUGUGAGCUGGGAGAGAGGAGAGCAGUCGGUUAUAGUUUUCUUCCAAUGAGGGAACUACAUGGGAGUUAAAGCAGCUCAGAGUCAUUAAAGAUCCAUUGUAAAUAAGAUUUGUGCUCUUUGACAUAGUUUUUUUUUUCCUGCCCACUGUCCAAUGGGGUAUAUUUUCCCCAUGACUCAGUUUUUUCCUUGGAGCAGCCAUUAUAAAACAAUGCAUCAUAUCAAUCACUCAAACUAUUCAAUUAAGAUACAUUUCUUAUGCUUUUGAGUGUAGACUUUCACUUACUCUCAGUUACUUUUCUUCCUCUCUCAUUCUUCCUCUCUCUUAUUUUAUCUAUCUCUUUCUCUGCUUUGCAUUUUCUAGGUUGAACUAUGGGAAAUAUUGAAAGCAGUGCAUUGAAGUAGGUACUAUUCCUGCCAUUCAUUCAUCCAUCCAACAAAAAUCGUUAAGCAUCUAAUGUAUACCUUUUUUACAUUAACCGAUUUCUCUUUGCAGGUCUAUUGCUGAAAUAGCAUUUAGGAACUUUACAUUUGCUUUUUGUUUGUUUAUUUUAUUAUCAUUGUUUUGCUAUAUACCAGAUGAAUUCUUGUCUCCUUAUUGUGGCUGGGGCUGCAAUACAGCUUGUCAAGAACAAACUGUAGAAAAUAGCUUCAUUUCAUAGCAGCUUUUCUCCAAUUUCAUUUGUCUCAGGAUGCAGUAAAAUUGAACAAACACAGCUCAUCCUACAUUCUGAAGAUGGGGUACAUUUAUCAGAAAAGAAAAACUGCCAGAGAGAAUUCACAUCACUGCAGACAGAGAGUAUCAAAUGGCAAAGAAAUGUACCUGACAACUUUUCAGAAAUUUUAAGACUAUUAAAAGAAGAUCAGUUUGGAGUCUUACUGCAAAGUAAGUGCAAAUUCUUUGCUUAAUGACUGUUUUCCUCUUCCUGAGGACUGAACCCUUUGAUAAUUACCAAGAACACAAUAUUUGUUUUUGGAUUUACCAUCUAGAGCUAUGCAAAUAGCGUUAGUUGAUCACUUCUUUUCUUAAAAGUACCUUGGAAAUAUCAUUAAGAGGACUAAUCCUGGAUUCAGUUUGGGGUUCUUACGUUAAUAAACUUCUGGGAAAACCAACAAAAACACACAGGUACAGAAAAAAACAUACAUAAUUCAGGGGUUAAAAGCAGAAGUCCCCAAGGAAUAAGUGAUCAUGCUGUUUUGAGGUACCUCAAUACAAUUCAUAACUGACUUCGCUCUGGGUGAAUGACCCUGUAGUGA
rnacentral:lncRNA from 1 species